rnacentral:rRNA from 1 species
CAGCCGCCGCGGUAAUACGAAGGGACCUAGCGUAGUUCGGAAUUACUGGGCUUAAAGAGUUCGUAGGUGGUUAAAAUAGUUGGUGGUGAAAUCCCAGAGCUUAACUCUGGAACUGCCAUCAAAACUUUUUAGCUAGAGUAUGAUAGAGGAAAGUAGAAUUUCUAGUGUAGAGGUGAAAUUCGUAGAUAUUAGAAAGAAUACCAAUUGCGAAGGCAGCUUUCUGGAUCAUUACUGACACUGAGGAACGAAAGCAUGGGUAGCGAAGAGGAUUAGAUACCCUCGUAGUCCAUGCCGUAAACGAUGUGUGCUAGACGUUGGAAAUUUUAUUUUCAGUGUCGCAGCGAAAGCGAUAAGCACACCGCCUGGGGAGUACGACCGCAAGGUUAAAACUCAAAUGAAUUGACGGGGACCCGCACAAGUAGUGGAGCAUGUGGUUUAAUUCGAAGAUACGCGCAGAACCUUACCAACACUUGACAUGUUCGUCGCGACUCUAAGAGAUUAGAGUUUUCGGUUCGGCCGGACGAAACACAGGUGCUGCAUGGCUGUCGUCAGCUCGUGUCGUGAGAUGUUGGGUUAAGUCCCGCAACGAGCGCAACCCUCACUUUUAGUUGCUAACAUUUAGUUGAGCACUCUGAAAGAACUGCCAGUGAUAAACUGGAGGAAGGUGGGGAUGACGUCAAGUCCUCAUGGCCCUUACGUGUUGGGCUACACACGUGCUACAAUGGCAUCUACAACAGGAAGCAAGAAUGCGAAUUCAAGCAAAUCCUCAAAAGAAGCCUCAGUUCGGAUUGUACUCUGCAACUCGAGUACAUGAAGCUGGAAUUACUAGUAAUCGCGGAUCAGCGUGCCGCGGUGAAUACGUUCCCGGGUCUUGCACACACCGCCCGU